rnacentral:rRNA from 1 species
AGUGAACGCUGGCGGUAGGCCUAACACAUGCCAGUCGAACGGCAGCACAGUAAGAGCUUGCUCUUACGGGUGGCGAGUGGCGGACGGGUGAGGAAUACAUCGGAAUCUACUUUUUCGUGGGGGAUAACGUAGGGAAACUUACGCUAAUACCGCAUACGACCUACGGGUGAAAGCAGGGGAUCUUCGGACCUUGCGCGAUUGAAUGAGCCGAUGUCGGAUUAGCUAGUUGGCGGGGUAAAGGCCCACCAAGGCGACGAUCCGUAGCUGGUCUGAGAGGAUGAUCAGCCACACUGGAACUGAGACACGGUCCAGACUCCUACGGGAGGCAGCAGUGGGGAAUAGUGGACAAUGGGCGCAAGCCUGAUCCAGCCAUACCGCGUGGGUGAAGAAGGCCUUCGGGUUGUAAAGCCCUUUUGUUGGGAAAGAAAAGCAGCAGGUUAAUACCCCGCUGUUCUGACGGUACCCAAAGAAUAAGCACCGGCUAACUUCGUG